rnacentral:rRNA from 1 species
CCUACGGGGGGCUGCAGUGGGGAAUAUUGGACAAUGGGGGCAACCCUGAUCCAGCCAUGCCGCGUGUGUGAAGAAGGCCCUCGGGUUGUAAAGCACUUUCAGUGAGGAAGAACGCCUGGUGGUUAAUACCCAUCAGGAAAGACAUCACUCACAGAAGAAGCACCGGCUAACUCCGUGCCAGCAGCCGCGGUAAUACGGAGGGUGCGAGCGUUAAUCGGAAUUACUGGGCGUAAAGCGCGCGUAGGUGGCUUGAUAAGCCGGUUGUGAAAGCUCCGGGCUCAACCUGGGAACGGCAUCCGGAACUGUCAAGCUAGAGUGCAGGAGAGGAAGGUAGAAUUCCCGGUGUAGCGGUGAAAUGCGUAGAGAUCGGGAGGAAUACCAGUGGCGAAGGCGGCCUUCUGGACUGACACUGACACUGAGGUGCGAAAGCGUGGGUAGCAAACAGGAUUAGAUACCCUUGUAGUC